GGGUGCGAUCAUACCAGCACUAAUGCACCGGAUCCCAUCAGAACUCCGCAGUUAAGCGCGCUUUUGUGAGAGUAGUACUAGGAUGGGUGACCUCCUGGGAAGUCCACGUGUUGCACCUC
rfam:Vitis vinifera, whole genome shotgun sequence of line PN40024, unoriented chromosome 17, chr17